UAUAUAUAUAUAUGCAAAAACGGAUAUUAAACAUCACCUUUUUUGUAUGUUUCGGCAUCUCAAACCAUCCCUACAAACACUCAUCGCAAAUUGUUACACAUGCAAAAAAAAAAGAUGAAUGGUUCUCAUCUAGAGCUUGUUGGCUUUGGUGGGGAUCGAACACUACUACUGGCACAAUGCCGUCUGUAACAAAAUGUCAUUAUUAAUCACCAUUCGCACAGGUUGUCAGAAUGCCUAUCUCAAAAAAAAAUUGAUUAACGAAAAAAAUCAAAAAGUUAUUCCCAUGACCCGAUCUCAAAAUUUGCAACUAACCAUGUAGCACCCAAAAAUUUUAUUCUUUUAAAUAGAUGAAUUUGAUUUAAUUAAAUAAUUUUUGUGAAGCAUUGCAAUACAGGAAAAUAAUAAAUU
rnacentral:lncRNA from 1 species